AAACAGGGGUCUAAUACCGGAUAAGAAAGCAGAUCGCAUGAUCAGCUUAUAAAAGGCGGCGUAAGCUGUCGCUAUGGGAUGGCCCCGCGGUGCAUUAGCUAGUUGGUAGGGUAACGGCCUACCAAGGCAAUGAUGCAUAGCCGAGUUGAGAGACUGAUCGGCCACAUUGGGACUGAGACACGGCCCAA
rnacentral:rRNA from 1 species